rnacentral:rRNA from 1 species
GACGAACGCUGGCGGCGUGCUUAACACAUGCAAGUCGAACGAUGAACCCGGAGCUUGCUCCGGCGGAUUAGUGGCGAACGGGUGAGUAACACGUGAGUAACCUGCCCUUGACUCUGGGAUAACUGCUAGAAAUGGUAGCUAAUACCGGAUACGACCCUCGGCGGCAUCGCCAGGGGGUGGAAAGAAUGUCGGUCAAGGAUGGACUCGCGGCCUAUCAGCUAGUUGGUGAGGUAAUGGCUCACCAAGGCGACGACGGGUAGCCGGCCUGAGAGGGUGACCGGCCACACUGGGACUGAGACACGGCCCAGACUCCUACGGGAGGCAGCAGUGGGGAAUAUUGCACAAUGGGCGCAAGCCUGAUGCAGCAACGCCGCGUGAGGGAUGACGGCCUUCGGGUUGUAAACCUCUUUUAGUAGGGAAGAAGCGAAAGUGACGGUACCUGCAGAAAAAGCACCGGCUAACUACGUGCCAGCAGCCGCGGUAAUACGUAGGGUGCAAGCGUUGUCCGGAAUUAUUGGGCGUAAAGAGCUCGUAGGCGGUUUGUCGCGUCUGCUGUGAAAUCCCGAGGCUCAACCUCGGGCCUGCAGUGGGUACGGGCAAACUAGAGUGUGGUAGGGGAGAUUGGAACUCCUGGUGUAGCGGUGGAAUGCGCAGAUAUCAGGAAGAACACCGAUGGCGAAGGCAGAUCUCUGGGCCAUUACUGACGCUGAGGAGCGAAAG